rnacentral:rRNA from 1 species
UACAGAGGUCUCAAGCGUUGUUCGGAUUCAUUGGGCGUAAAGGGUGCGUAGGCGGCGCGGUAAGUCGGGUGUGAAAUCUCGGGGCUUAACUCCGAAACUGCAUUCGAUACUGCCGUGCUUGAGGACUGGAGAGGAGACUGGAAUUUACGGUGUAGCGGUGAAAUGCGUAGAUAUCGUAAGGAAGACCAGUGGCGAAGGCGGGUCUCUGGACAGUCCUGACGCUGAGGCACGAAGGUCAGGGGGGAGCAAACGGG